AAGGAUUUAAGUUAAACACAAACUCGAAACCUUCAAAGUUUCAAAUAAAGAAAUCUUUAAGCCUUA
rnacentral:tRNA from 1 species